ACGCACGCUGGCGGCGUGCUUCACACAUGCCAGUCGAACGGAAAGGCCCUGCUUUUGUGGGGUGCUCGAGUGGCGAACGGGUGAGUAACACGUGAGUAACCUGCCCUUGACUUUGGGAUAACUUCAGGAAACUGGGGCUAAUACCGGAUAGGAGCUCCUGCUGCAUGGUGGGGGUUGGAAAGUUUCGGCGGUUGGGGAUGGACUCGCGGCUUAUCAGCUUGUUGGUGGGGUAGUGGCUUACCAAGGCUUUGACGGGUAGCCGGCCUGAGAGGGUGACCGGCCACAUUGGGACUGAGAGACGGCCCAGACUCCUACGGGAGGCAGCAGUGGGGAAUAUUGCACAAUGGGCGGAAGCCUGAUGCAGCAACGCCGCGUGCGGGAUGACGGCCUUCGGGUUGUAAACCGCUUUCGCCUGUGACGAAGCGUGAGUGACGGUAAUGGGUAAAGAAGCACCGGCUAACUACGUG
rnacentral:rRNA from 1 species